ACGGGAGGCAGCAGUGGGGAAUAUUGGGCCAUGGGCGAAAGCCUGACCCAGCCACGCCGCGUGAAGGGAGACGGUCUUCGGAUUGUAAACUUCUUUUAUGAGGGACGAAGGACGUUACGGUACCUCACGAAUAAGCCACGGCUAACUACGUGCCAGCAGCCGCGGUAAUACGUAGGUGGCGAGCGUUAUCCGGAUUUACUGGGUGUAAAGGGCGCGUAGGCGGGGAUGCAAGUCAGGUGUGAAAUCUAUGGGCUUAACCCAUAAACUGCAUUUGAAACUGUAUCUCUUGAGUGCUGGAGAGGUAGACGGAAUUCCUUGUGUAGCGGUGAAAUGCGUAGAUAUAAGGAAGAACACCAGUGGCGAAGGCGGUCUACUGGACAGUAACUGACGCUGAGGCGCGAAAGCGUGGGGAGCAAACAGGAUUAGAUACCCUGGUA
rnacentral:rRNA from 1 species